rnacentral:tRNA from 1 species
GAGGGGGUUGUAAGAUCUGCUAACUCUUUAAUCUGGGACUAACCCCCAGCCCCUUC